CAGCAGCCACGGGAAUACAGAGGGUGCGAGCGUUAAUCGGAAUUACUGGGCGUAAAGCGCGCGUAGGUGGUUUGUUAAGUUGGAUGUGAAAGCCCCGGGCUCAACCUGGGAACUGCAUCCAAAACUGGCAAGCUAGAGUACGGUAGAGGGUGGUGGAAUUUCCUGUGUAGCGGUGAAAUGCGUAGAUAUAGGAAGGAACACCAGUGGCGAAGGCGACCACCUGGACUGAUACUGACACUGAGGUGCGAAAGCGUGGGGAGCAAACAGGAUUAGAUACCCCAGUAGUCCCUGUCUCUUAUAC
rnacentral:rRNA from 1 species